CUCCUCCUCUCCUUCCUCUCCUCCUUCCUCUCCUCCCACGCCCCCUCACUCUCUCCUCCUGUCUCCUCCUCCUCUUCUCUUCUCCCUCCCUCCUUCUCCACGUCCUCCCUCUCUGCUCCUCUCCUCGCUCCCUCCUCCUCUUCUCUUCUCCUUCGUCCUUGUGCUACAUCCUUUUGUCAUGCCUAAUCCAGACUCGGAGCAUCACAAUAGUAAACCUGUCCCAUGCUUCUCCUCAGAGCUUUGCUGGACAGCGAGAGCUUCAGGGGCGGUGCCACUUUGUUGAAUCUGCCAGGAAACAUUUCUGUCCCAGAUGCAGCAUCCAGUCCUCGUGGGGUUAAAAAGCAUUACCAGAGCCGUCUGUUAGCGGGACACAAGAGCACAUCCUUCUCAUCUGUCCACGGAAAUACACGAACGGCAUCACCGGGCUGGGGCAGGAAACCAGCAUCAUUCACUGAAACUCCAAAGAUUCCCAUGAAACCUCCAGAGCUGACAACAGGGAAAACCCCGCAGACACUUCCUGCUGUCAAGCCAGACGGGGAUAAGGAGAAAGUCACCUUGACUGAGCUGUUGUCACCUCAUCAUGGGGCAGAAGCUUUUGCUAAAGAAGGAAGUGAAAAUGUCAAAAAAGCUUCAGAAGAGAUGAUUGAGCAGGUUUUUGCUUCUCAGGUAGAUUCUGAGCUCAGCUCCGAGGCCCACCUCACCCGUGAAGAGAGUCAGCGUGACUUAGCAACACCAAAGCUAACACCAUACCAUGUCAGAAUGAAGGAGGAGAGCUGUGAAUUCUCAGAUGAAUUGGUGCCCUUUGACAAACCUGCUUCUCAGGAGGAUGUGCAAGAACCUCAAGUGCCACGUGAUGAAUGGGUGGAGAAAGAAGGUGAAGAAGGUGAAGGUGAAGAGCAGCUACAGGAGGAAAGCUCAGAUUCUGAAACCGAGGCCGUUAUUGAACCAAACUUUGAGUCCAGGACGAGCAGUCCUGUGUCUGAAUGCGAGCCAGAAGAAAGUGUGUUUAGUACAGGGAUUGAUGCGACUCAAAGUGUUGAGCUGAUGCAAGAAGGGUGUUUGCUCACAGAAACGUACGAGACGGACAGAGAUGAAAAGCUGUACCCCGAUGGAGAAGAGAUGGACACGUAUGACAGAGCCAUGGAAAGAAAGGUGGAUGUGAAGAUGAGCAAUGACACAAAAACGGAAGAAGAAAAGUGGCAGCACGCUGAGCCUGAGGAGGACAUUUCAUCUAAAGACCAACGUCCUGAAGAGACGGAGAGGAGGCAGGACCUUGCCAGCGAGGAGCAGCAAUUCAACGCAAGCAUCUCUCCAUUGACAGACAGUCAAGUUGGUGAUGGAGCACCUGCAUUACCCCCUCACGAAAAUGAAGAAGAGGAUGAAGAGGAAGAUUCACAAAAUAUGUUGGUGUCCUGGAGGACCGAGAGCGAGAGCUACACUCAGGACAACACCCUCGCUGACCACCGUCCUCUGAUUCAAUACAAGAGCGACGAGGCCGAUGGCGCCACUCAGGCGUCACACAUGGACAAGAGCGAGUCUGGCGAAGAAGAGCAGGAAAAGAUGAUUGAUGAGAUGAUGAAGUGGAGCGAAGACAAUGCAGAACGAUUUGGAACUAUGGAAGAUCUGCGUGAAGACACUGAAGGGGAACUGGACGAAGAGUACGACCUGGGAUAUACUCACACGCACACACAAGACCUGGUGCUGGAUGGUGCUGAUGAACUGACCAGCGGGGUCAAUGAGAGGCCUUCAGAUGAGGAACCCAAACAUGACACCCAAGAACUUGUAAGUCCUACAGGUUCUGCAGAGGUGGACGAUGAAGAGUUAGAGACGGGGAGAUUUGUGGGGCAGGAGUUCGAACAUGUAAAAUCAGACUUUGCUGGAACAAGCUUUGUACAGCAGCAGGUCAGGGAGAUUGAGAACCUCGUACAUCUGCAUGACAGCAACCUUACUGAAGAGUCAGAAGCAGAAGAGGAGGAAGAUUUACCUUCCCCUAACCCUGACCUGGGUGUGAUUCCAGAUCCUCCAGCUUUCAGUGCCUUUACAGAUCAACCUUCCUACAGCUUUGGUUUCAGUGAGCCCUCAAUGACAGAUGCUGAAGUCCAGCCUAAAGACCAAGGACCUUCAGAAGAAAAAGAAAAAGAGGAAAAACAUGUUUCCUUGGUGACACAUGCAGAUGAGACAGAAACCCUGCUAAUCACCAGGCCUGAUGAGGCAGAGGAAAUCAGCUGCUCGGAGGAAACAAACCCUGCAAUAGACCCCCGAGCUGAUGAGGUGAACCUGUGGGAGGUGGGUGUGUCCUCAGAUCAGAGCACGUGGACACCAGCUGAGUCUCAACGACAUCAGCAUGAGAAGGUUGGAGAUUCUCAGGAUGUUCCACAAGCACCUGAAUGGGAAAUGCUCAGGAACGUCGGUGAGCAGUGUGAAUCAGCUGAAAGCCCCACGGAGGACAUCACCUCCGACCAGCAGAAGCAGCAGCAUCUCAACAUCUGCCCUGACAAUGUGGAGGAUGACAUAUUUGUGGUCAGAAGCUCAGCAGAACUAGUGAAGAAAAGUGGAAAUGACAGCAGCCUCCAUGAUUUCUUUAGGGGUGUAAAGAAUGACUCCUGGGUGUCGUCCUUGGAAACUGGUGCUACCAACCACCCAGAUGAUGCCUGUAAUGAAGCAGCUGAACAAACCGGUCAGGGUCUGGGCUUUGCUGAUGCUUUGGUGUGGGGGGAUUUGGAAGACACAAACGUGGUUAAGUGGAGCUCCGGAGUGGAUACUGACUCUCCCAAAGGUCUGCUAGCUGAGAAGAAGCAGGGGAACUCUGAGGUGAAGCAGCUGUUGGUCCAUUCUGAGGAGUCAGAGGUGGAGGCAGAAUCCUGGUCUUCUGGAGAGGAACCAAUAUGAAGACUGAAGACAGAAGCCUGAGCUGAAGCAGUUCUAGUCUGAAUCUCUGUUAGUUAGAAUCCUGAACUUCCCUCAAAGGAAAAAGUUGUGCCUUGGUGAUCACCUCAGCCACGCUAACCACCAAUGUGCCAGUUCCAUACAAACCAAGCGGAUCUUUGACUAACACUUCUAUUCUUCCCCGAUUGUUAAAGCUGUUAGUUUGCAUGAAAAGAUGGCUGAAGGACAUGUGUCUGCAUGAAUUAACAAGAUGAAGAUGGAACAAAGAAUGUCAUUUGAAAGUCGGAGUGUUUAUUGAUUUCUGCCUAAUCUGCUUUACCUGAUUAAUGGAGAUCAAUGAGAACAGAUGGGUCAACACCCGGCUGCUGUUUCUGCUGCUGAGGGAACUCAGGUCAGCUUCAGCAGCUUUCAGAGGAGGUGGCUUUCAUUUGUGUGUUGCAUCCCCAUAAUAAACCCUGGUAGAUCCGGAGUCUGGUGGUUUGUGUCUCACACAGGUCAGUGAAAUGCAGCUUUACUGCAAACAGCCAGACCAUAAUGGUAACAUGGCGUUAUUCUUUAAAAUCCCUGUUAAAAAAAAUCAUAAAAGGUCAAAGCAGCUAAAAGAGCACCAGGACCUUCAGCAAGCAGGAGGGGCCAAGAAGAGAGUGUGAGAGCAGGAACACAGCAUGACACCCCCUCACUACACACACACACACACACACACACACACACACACACACACACACACACACACACACACACACACACACACACACGGAAGGCUGCAGCUCAGCUCGGAAUGAUCAUAAAGGUGGCUUCAUUAUUUCCGACUUACAUAAAACAUUUUAUUCUUGGCAGUUUGACACAGAGGAACUCUGUUAACGAGGGUCAAGUCAGCCGUCAAACAACACUCAGCUAACUUAGCAACAGUCUCCUCAUUCCCACACUUGUUAGCUUCAUAAAACCAGAGACAGUGGAAAAAGUCCGAUCAAGCAGAACUGAUCACAUCCCACACGUUCUCAGUGUGGGUGGAUCCAUUAGGAGGGCUAAACAAAUGUGUCUGUGUGUGUGUGUGUGGGGGGGGGGGGGGGGCAAAAAUGGCCUUAUUUUAUGCUUGGAGCUGAACUGAUGCUGUCAUUAAUACUGAAUGUUUCUUCACAAAAGAGGGCGGAGCCUUGAGGGGGCUGGUACCAGCAUGUUGGCUGUGAUGUUUAGAGGUUUAAUCACGUCUACUCUGCUCAUUCUAUCAGUAUUUUUAGACGUGACCAGCCCUAUUCACCAUUUGGAGCUACAUUUAGACUCUUGCCAGCUGCUCUGAUGCUGCCUCAUUUCUCUGUGUUGCAUCAGAUGCUCCCACAAAUAAAA
rnacentral:lncRNA from 1 species